rnacentral:rRNA from 1 species
UUGGAGGGCAAGUCUGGUGCCAGCAGCCGCGGUAAUUCCAGCUCCAAUAGCGUAUAUUAAAGUUGUUGCAGUUAAAAAGCUCGUAGUUGAAUUUUGGGUCUGGCCGGGCGGUCCGCCCUCUGGGUGAGCACUGUUCCGACGUCGGGCCUAUCCUUCUGGUGAGUCGGCAUGUCCUUUAUUGGGUGUGUCGGGGAACCAGGACCAUUACCUUGAAAAAAUUAGAGUGUUCAAAGCAGGCGUAUGCUCGGAUACAUUAGCAUGGAAUAAUGAAAUAGGACGCGUGGUGCUAUUUUGUUGGUUUCUAGAACCGCCGUAAUGAUUAAUAGGGAUAGUUGGGGGCAUUAGUAUUCAAUUGUCAGAGGUGAAAUUCUUGGAUUUAUUGAAGACUAACUUCUGCGAAAGCAUUUGCCAAGGAUGUUUUCAUUAAUCAAGAACGAAAGUUAGGGGAUCGAAGACGAUCAGAUACCGUCGUAGUCUUAACCAUAAACUAUGCCGACUAGGAAUCGGGCGAUGUUAUUCUCAUGACUCGCCCGGCGCCUUAC